rnacentral:rRNA from 1 species
AUGUUGCUUGCUGCUGAAUCAGAGGAUCCUUUAUUUGGUUCACCACACACAAAGCACUAUCCUGUUGGGGCUGAGAAUGAGACAUUUAUGGUAACUGGGCGGAACACAAGGUUGAGCGAGCUAGUUGGCAUGGACAAUCCAAAAUCAAGCAACUACAUUGAACAAGAUGAUCCUAGCAACUGGAACAACAACCAGACAGAUUUCCAGGAGGCUGAUUUGGCAUUGCAAACUGUGACAUGGGAUGAUGGCAUCCCAGCUCCUGGAGCUGAGCUCUUGCAGGCUCUAGGAAUUUGUCCUGGAGACAAUCAUAAUGAAGACGGUUCAUGGAGUGAAGACUCAGACACCGAUCCAAGUGCAUUUAACAAAGUGCUAGUUGAUGCUGAAGAAGAUGCUAAUCAGGUAGUUGCUGCACAUGGUGAUCAACAUGGUGAUAAUGAAGCUGUGGACAAUGACGUUGACCGUUGA